rnacentral:tRNA from 1 species
GGCUCAGUGGCGAAGUGGUUAACGCGGCGGUCUGCAAAACCGCUAUGCACCGGUUCAACUCCGGUCUGAGCCU